CUACGGGCCGCUCCAGUGGGGAAUAUUGCACAAUGGAGGAAACUCUGAUGCAGCAACGCCGCGUGGAGGAUGACACUUUUCGGAGCGUAAACUCCUUUUAUAUAGGAAGAAGAUGACGGUACUAUAUGAAUAAGCGCCGGCUAACUCCGUGCCAGCAGCCGCGGUAAUACGGAGGGCGCAAGCGUUACUCGGAAUCACUGGGCGUAAAGAGCGUGUAGGCGGAUUAAAAAGUCAGAAGUGAAAUCCUAUAGCUUAACUAUAGAACUGCUUCUGAAACUCUUAAUCUAGAAUAUGGGAGAGGUAGAUGGAAUUUCUGGUGUAGGGGUAAAAUCCGUAGAGAUGAGAAGGAAUACCGAUUGCGAAGGCGAUCUACUAGAACAUUAUUGACGCUGAGACGCGAAAGCGUGGGGAGCAAACAGGAUUAGAUACCCUCGUAGUC
rnacentral:rRNA from 1 species